rnacentral:rRNA from 1 species
UGGGGGAUUUUGCACAAUGGGCGCAAGCCUGAUGCAGCGACGCCGCGUGAGGGAUGAAGGCCUUCGGGUUGUAAACCUCUUUCGCUGGGUUGAAAGGCCAUGCUUUGGGUGUGGUUGAUUUGAACUGGUAAAGAAGUACCGGCUAACUACGUGCCAGCAGCCGCGGUAAUACGUAGGGUACUAGCGUUGUCCGGAUUUAUUGGGCGUAAAGGGCUUGUAGGUGGUUUGUCGCGUCUGUCGUGAAAUCCUGUGGCUUAACCAUGGGCUUGCGGGGGGUACGGGCAGGCUUGAGUGCGGUAGGGGAGACUGGAAUUCCUGGUGUAGCGGUGGAAUGCGCAGAUAUCAGGAGGAACACCGGUGGCGAAGGCGGGUCUCUGGGCCGUUACUGACACUGAGGAGCGAAAGCGUGGGGAGCGAACAGG